GCCAGCGCGCUGCAGCCCGCCGCGCGCGCUGCGCUGCACGCUGCCGGAUGGGAGUGUCGCGCGUCGUAUGAGCGACCUCUAUGUGGCGCCGCGCUCACACUGCCGCUAGUGCGGCUCGGCAUCGACCUACCACUGGCGUGAUCGAUUUAUUUAAUUCGCACAAUUUAAAUAAAUCGAACAUAUCUGUAUUUCAUUAAGUUUAUUUACAAACAAAAUAUAUUCCCUGCGAAAAUACCACGACACUUUACCAUCGUCGUUUGCCGCUAUUCUAUUUUUAAUUUGAGGGGUGCUCGAUUUUACGUUUGCUUCCCCGGUUGGCCGAGAGGGUCGUUUUCUUCCCGAACAGCAUUCGAAGAGUCGUUGGGGUCGUGACCUGCCGAAAGAUGGAAAAUAUAGACGAACUAUUUAUUCCUCACGACGCGAGUUGCAAAUAAGACGGAUAUCCGUCACCUGUACACGGUUGCUUCCGUGCGCCAGCCUGGCGCGAGCGCGGACGCGCGCCGCCACGGCCGCCCGCUCGACGCUCGCCAUCAGUGACUCGCUGCGUUUGUCCGCCAGUACGCGCGCGGCUAUUCGAAACAGCGCGCUAAGCGACUCGUCUGUGCACUCCAUCGCCGCAUCCAAAGCAUGCGCUACCUCGUGAGGCCCCAGCUUGUCCCGCCCCGUCGCCUCGGCGCGCGGCGCAGUCGUAGCGAGCAGCGCGCCGCGCAACAACAUAUCGGCAAGUGCCGAUGACGCAUGAUCGGGGGAUGCGCGCGUCGCGUCCGACAGCUCCAGCAGCAUCUCGGCCGUCGCUGUGUGCUGCCACAUCAGCGCGAUGCGCUUCAUCGUCUGCGACACGGGAUCAGAAACGAAAUGAAUAAAGAAUACUUGUUUAUUGGAUAUACAUAAAAAGUUUACAAAUUAAGAGUAUAAAACUGAAGCUUUAUAAUACAAUAAUAGCACGAACAUAAAAGAAGAAUAUAAAGAAGAUAAGGGUUCUACGUGCGAGGAAGUGUGGAAAUAACGAUAGAUUUAACGAGAGCGUACGAACAGCCGCCUCGUUCUGCGCGGCAACGAGCAGCGCUUGCAGCAUCCGCGUAGCGAGUGCCGGCCGCGCACCGCACAGCACGGCGACGGAUAGCCAGGCCGCCAUGAGAACGACUUCUGCCUCUUCGAACGGCUUUUUCUGGAUUCUUUUUCGCUUCAGCGCUCGCUCUAUGCUCGAAAAUAUCUGACGAUUAUACGAAUACUUGAAUAUUCUUUAUAGAUCUGAAUAUUGUGAUAAAAACAUACAUAUACAUAUUAUAUAGUUUGUACAAUAAUAUUUUUUUAAUUUUUUCA